rnacentral:rRNA from 1 species
UACGUAGGGUGCGAGCGUUGUCCGGAUUCACUGGGCGUAAAGGGUGCGCAGGCGGCCGAGUGUGUGAGGCGUGAAAGCCCGGGGCUUAACCCCGGAAUUGCACCUCAAACUACACGGCUAGAGCAUUGGAGAGGGUAGCGGAAUUCACGGUGUAGCAGUGAAAUGCGUAGAUAUCGUGAGGAACACCAGAGGCGAAGGCGGCUACCUGGACAAUUGCUGACGCUCAGGCACGAAAGCUAGGGGAGCAAACAGG